UGAGGAAUAUUGGUCAAUGGGCGAGAGCCUGAACCAGCCAAGCCGCGUGAAGGAAGAAGGCGCCAGGCGUCGUAAACUUCUUUUGUCGGGGAACAAAGGGCGCCACGCGUGGCGUUGUGAGUGUACCCGAGAAAAGCAUCGGCUAACUCCGUGCC
rnacentral:rRNA from 1 species